AUACGGAGGGUGCAAGCGUUAAUCGGAAUUACUGGGCGUAAAGGGCGCGUAGGCGGUCUAUCAAGUCAGGUGUGAAAUCCCACGGCUCAACCGUGGAGGUGCAUCUGAAACUGAUAGACUUGAGUAUGGGAGAGGAAAGUGGAAUUCCCGGUGUAGAGGUGAAAUUCGUAGAUAUCGGGAGGGACACCAGUGGCGAAGGCGACUUUCUGGACCAAUACUGACGCUGAGGCGCGAAAGCGUGGGGAGCAAACAGGAUUAGAAACCCUAGUAGUCC
rnacentral:rRNA from 1 species